GGGACCCGCACAAGCGGUGGAUGAUGUGGAUUAAUUCGAUGCAACGCGAAAAACCUUACCUACCCUUGACAUGUCCGGAAUCCCGAAGAGAUUUGGGAGUGCUCGCAAGAGAACCUGCACACAGGUGCUGCAUGGCUGUCGUCAGCUCGUGUCGUGAGAUGUUGGGUUAAGUCCCGCAACGAGCGCAACCCUUGCCAUUAGUUGCUACGAAAGGGCACUCUAAUGGGACUGCCGGUGACAAACCGGAGGAAGGUGGGGAUGACGUCAAGUCCUCAUGGCCCUUAUAGGUGGGGCUACACACGUCAUACAAUGGCCGGUACAGAGGGUAGCCAACCCGCGAGGGGGAGCCAAUCCCACAAAGCCGGUCGUAGUCCGGAUCGCAGUCUGCAACUCGACUGCGUGAAGUCGGAAUCGCUAGUAAUCGCGGAUCAGCAUGUCGCGGUGAAUACGUUCCCGGGUCUU
rnacentral:rRNA from 1 species